UAAAUCCAUCUACUAUCUGUGUGAAACAGAGCUUUUCACAUAUUCAACUUUUGUCUGUAACUGUUUAACUUUAAGUACCAAUACUGUCAAAAGCAGGGUCACAGUAAGGUCACGUACAUACAUGUUACACACCAGCAGUUAUGAGGUAAUGUUUCCUUGGCAUCGACCUCAGCAGAGAGUUGGUGUAUUUUCACCACAGGACGAUGACUGAUGAAGGGGAGCGCUGGAGGAGCAGGGAGGCGAGAUAAAACAAAAGUCCAAACCCAAAUAAGCAAGCCGUCAGCCUCUAAUAGCAGAAAGGAAGUAUCCCUUUAUCAACAAGUGAAUUAACAGUUUCCCGUCACACCUUGUUUUUUGCCUCCCCCUUUCUCUGUGAACCAGCGCCAGGACCCAGAUGGCCCAGUGAUCGGACCACCAUGGCUUCUGCUCGCUCAUCAAACGUCUCUGUUACGUCGGCUUUGGGUCGGCCCAGUGCCGUAGAAUGUCUGUCCACAUACGGAAGUCGCCACAGAGGCGGAAUUUCAUCUCCGCGGUGUUUGUUUGGAACUGAGCUCGCAGGACACAGCAUCUCAUCGCAGUUGGUUUCAGUUGACGUUAUCUGCUCAUCUGGUUAUCGUGAGCACUCGUUUUGGGUUAAAGUG